UAGCAAACGAGCAAAAUUUUUUUAAGCGAAUCUCAAUCCCCAAACGAUGAUACCUACGAUACGACCCUCCAUUUUCAUUCGCCUCUAAAACCCUAAACCCAAUGACGAAAUCAAGGGAAUAGUCAGAAUGAAGCUUCGUCGAAAUCGAAGAAAGUCUUGGGUUUUCCAUUGAAGAAGAAGAAAUGGCAACGAUUGUUCUCGCCAGAUUAAUUUGGAUAAAAGAUAUGCUUAUUACACUCUCAAGUUCUUUGAAAACAAUUCAAGCCGCCUGCCGAAGUGGUGCAAUGAUGCGGAUACCAUGAAGCACCCUUUCUGCCAAAUUCGAGAGAAGUAUCAAAUGGAUCCAUACCCGCAUAUGAAUGAAAGUUGAGUGGUACUUCUCUCUAGCAACGGUAGCCAAAGAACUUCCCGACGACGAUCGUAGGGCCUUGACCUUCCUGAAAUUCUUGUAGAAGCUGAAAGGCGUGGGUUAUCUUUUGAUGAAUUGUUGACAAUGCCUGAGCAGGAUGAUUGGAUAUAAAGUGAUGGGAAGUCCACAUCAUUUGUUGUUUUCAUCCUGGAAAUGUACAAGGAAGCAGGGCUGUUUGAUCCAAUUGCAAACUCCAUUCAAGUUACGGAGUUUAUGAUAAAAGAUGCUUACACUCUCAAGUUCUUUGAAAACAAUUCAAGCCGCAUGCCAAAGUGGUGCAAUGGCGUGGACACCGUGAAGCUCCCUUACUGCCAAAUUUGAGGGAAGUAUUGAAUGGAACUACCUGAAUACAAUAUGAUGGAUCCAUACCCGCAUAUGAAUGAAAGGUGCUCAUCUCUUCCCCCAAAAUACUCUAGGCCUAAGGGUUUCUAAAGUCUAAAAAGUCUUCUGAUUUGUACUGGAGUUUUUAUACCACAGCUUUGUAUAAUACUAGGUGGUUGUAUGAUUUAUUUUUCUGUAUACAAUUUUUUUGAUGCAAAGACUGGAAAGAUUCCAAAAGAUUAGUUGAUUUAAGUUUGAUAUUGUUUGUAAAUUUGCUAUCACAAUAUGCACAAAGAGUAAUGGUAAUUUCAUUGUUACUACACA